GGUGACCGUUUGAAUACAAUUCACCCUCACUUUUCUCUCUCUUAUGCACUCUCUCUCUUCCUUCCCUUUCCACCUUGUAAAUCGGCAGAUGGUUCCGUUUGACACACACACAGCGACGUAGUCAUCUCCUUCCGGCGACCGACGCAGCACAUUCAUCUUCGUCCCUCGCUCCUUGUCUCAGCCUCUCUUUUGCUGCUCAACACACACACUCCGGUUUCCUUCCCUCUCUGAGUCGCUGCUGCCCGGCAGAUUCCGGCGUGUCACCGCCGUUUUUCUGACUGCUCUAGGCCAGACUCAUUACUCCUUAAACCCUGCGAGCAACAAAAACAAAAAGGAAUCAAAUUGGUAAAAUUAUGGUGAUCGUUUUCAGUUCCUUCAUCUCACAUUUCAAUUGGCGAUGGUCCACAAACUCCUGAAAACGACAUCAUUCUUUCAUUCUCUCCUUCUUUGGCCAGCUACUAAUGGAACCUUACAGUUAUGGAAAAGAAACUGGAAAUGCUGCACAUCCUACUAAUGCAACUCUGUCUUCCUGGGACUAAUGUCUCUGAGCCAUUUAUGUACGAUACUAUCUCAGAGAAGUAUACAAUGGAAUGGAGGGUAGCGUAAUACUGCUCCAAGCUAAUUUUGGACACUUUGAUAUUAAGUGUCUCUCAGUUCAUACUAAAGCCAUCAAUGAAGAACUACUGCAAAAUCUUUCUGAUGCUUUGUCUAAAUCGGUCUUGCUUUGUCUAAAUCUGAAGAUCACGAUACCAGGAUGUGUGGAAAGAAUUUUUGUUUGAGUCAGAUUAAAGAGCUGUGUGCCAAUCCUAUUGCAUUUGAGGCGAUUGAGAUAAUUCAACAUAUGCUCGUGUUACUCUUAGUUGGUCUGAAGGCGGAAGGCGCCUCUCUAAGCAUUUAGAUUCAUUCUUGCAAAUGCUAUCUCUUGUGCAACUAAGGUGCUUUCUGUGAUAGUUCCUCGUGCAAAAAUAGACUAGAAUUUCUUAGUCAAUCUGAAAGCCAAGGCCCAACUACAUGGAGAUCACUUCUUCAGGUGGACGAGCAAGAUCUGGGGGCGGCGGCCUGGUGGGGGCAAGUCGUGUGGCGGCAGGGGGAGACUUAGUUCUUAACUUAUAAGAAGCCGGGGGGAAAAGGGAAUAGAUCAAGUUUCUGCGGAUGUUCAGGACCUCUCUCCUAGUCACAUUCAACCUUUGGGUUCACUUUUGAAUAUCUUUUUGGAAGCUUGUCCCUCUAUUUUAAAGGACUAUGCCAUGGAGCCUGAUGAGAAACUUAUACUAAAUGCAGCACAUUUGAUGGUAGCAAGCUUGGCAGGAAGUCUUGCUAAUGUAACAUUUAAGGUAUAGAUAACCUUUGCUCUAUUACUUUCUUAUGUUAAUUAUUAAUGAUCUUGUGAAUUUGUCAAAACAUCACUUUAUAUACCUUGUGUGUUGAUUGAAGAGGCCCUUACAUCACAUUUAGGAACCUUUACUUGGUUUAGUAUCAAGCGAGCUCAGAAGGUCACUUCAGGGCUUGGCCGUAGCAAGUGAUCUUCUAGAGCAGUCAUUUCAGCUGGUAACUAAUGAUAAUAUCCUUUGCAUCAAUGUCUUGAUUUCCAUAAUAACCAUUAAAAUAAAAGAAGUGAGGCGAUAAAGGCUUGUUUGCAUCAACGAAACUAAUUGGUUUGCAUCAAUUGGCGAUGGUCCACAAACUCCUGAAAACGACAUCAUUCUUUCAUUCUCUCCUUCUUUGGCCAGCUACUAAUGGAACCUUACAGUUAUGGAAAAGAAACUGGAAAUGCUGCACAUCCUACUAAUGCAACUCUGUCUUCCUAACAUCUUUGGACUAAUGUCUCUGAGCCAUUUAUGUACCAUACUAUCUCAGAGAAGGAAAGAAUUUUUGUUUGAGUCAGAUUAAAGAGCUGUGUGCCAAUCCUAUUGCAUUUGAGGCGACUGAGAUAAUUCAACAUAUGCUGGUGUUACUCUUAGUUGGUCUGAAGGCUGAAGGCGCCUCUCUAAGCAUUUAGAUUCAUUCUUGCAAAUGUUAUCUCUUGUGCAACUAAGGUGCUUUCCGUGAUAGUUCCUCGUGCAAAAAUAAACUAGAAUUUCUUAGUCAAUCUGAAGGCCAAGGCCCAACUACAUGGAGAUCACUUCUUCAGUGGUGUUAUAAACGCGCCGGGCAGGUGGACGAGCAAGAUCUGGGGGCGGCGGCCUGGUGGGGGCUAGUCGUGUGGCGGCAGGGGGAGACUUAGUUCUUAACUUAUAAGAAGCCGGGGGGAAAAGGGAAUAGAUCAAGUUUCUGCGGAUGUUCAGGACCUCUCUCCUAGUCACAUUCAACCUUUGGGUUCACUUUUGAAUAUCUUUUUGGAAGCUUGUCCCUCUAUUUUAAAGGACUAUGCCAUGGAGCCUGAUGAGAAACUUAUACUAUAUGCAGCACAUUUGGCAGGAAGUCUUUCUAAUGUAACAUUUAAGGAAUCACAAACAGAGUUGACACCGAUGAAUGGAAUCCAUCCACUGAUACGCAUUUCCACAAUUGAUAACCGCUCUGGAAAUGUUGUGAUACACCCAAAAUUUUAAAUAUUAUUUCAGCAGUUGUGUUUGUCUACGACAGUUUGAUCAACUAUCACGGGACCAAAUUUUCUAUAGAUUGCAAACUUGAGUUUGCUCGUACUGCUUGCUCAUCUAAAAUCUGCUGCUGUACUACGCUAUAAGCAGAACUCGGUCCUUUUUUUGAGAUCGCUACUUUAGUGUUGAUCAAGUUUCAGAGAUGUCCACUGUUGUUCAACAGUGAGAUGUUAUAGCUCGUAGGAUUUUUCAGCUAGUACACUGAGCGCACACAUAUUUAGGGACUAACCCCGGAGUUGUCUAGGUUCUCACUUCCGGUAUAGGGGUGUGAUCUUGGCGCCACCCCUUACUUACUUUCUAAUCAAACAAGUCAAACGGGAGCCCUUUGUCCUAAGCCAGGGCACCUGUGACAUUCACAACAACAAGUUUAUGAGGCGAUUCUUUGACAAAUUCUAGGACAUCUAAGUUGAUUCACAUGAAAUGAUCCACCCAGACCUUAAAUGCUUUUCCAGUUUGCCCCCGGCGUCAUCAGAAGGUGGAUUUUCCAUGCAAUUUGCAUCUCUACUUAUGACCAACUGAGUGCUAGCAGUUACUCCUCUGGCCUUGUUAGCACUGGAAUUGGUGCUAUGCCUCAUACAUUGGAAAUUGGCUCUGACGAGAUAGAACUUGUUGGAUCCCAGAAUCCUACAAGUUCGCUCAUCUCAUAUUUCAAUUGGCGAUGGUCCACAAACUCUUGUAAACGGCAUCAUUCCUUCAUUCCCUCCUGCUUUGGCUAGCUACUGAUGGAACCUUCCAGUGGUGCAAAAGAACCUGGAAAUGCUGCACACCCUACUAAUGCAAUUCUGUCUUCCGGGCUUCCUGGGACAAACCUUGAUAUUAGAAUAAGUUGUACAAUCUCAUUUUUAUAUGUUUAAACAUAUGUGUGCCUGCUUUAGAUUAUGAAGCACAAGUCCGAAUAGCAGCUGUCGAAAAGGAAUCACAAACAGAGUUGACACCGAUGAAUGGAAUCCAUCCACUGACACUCCAAAUUUUAAAUAUUAUUCCAGCAUUUGUGUUUGUCUAUGACAGUUAGAUCAGCUAUCGAGGGACCAAAUUUGCUUUAGAUUGCAAACUUGAGUUUGCUCGUACUGCUCAUCGAAAUUCUGCUACUGUUCAUUCCAGGUUGAGUGUAAGGCUGCAUAGCAAGUAGAACUCAGUCCCAUGUAGAGAGCGCUACUCCAGUGUCGAUAAGCUCUAGAGAUGUCCCCUGAUCUUCAACAGUGAGGUGUUAUAGCUGUAACCACUACUCGUAGGAUUUUUAUGCUAGUACACUUUGAGCACAAACUUUUGCAGGAACUAACCCGGAGUUGUCCUGGUUCUCACUUCCAGUAUAGGGGUGUGAUCUUGGCACCACCCCUUACUUGCUUUCUACUCAAACAAGCAAGAAUCGAUCCAUCCAGAGCUCAAAUGCAUUUCCAGUUUGCCCCUCCGCUUCAUCACUUGGUGGAUUUUCCUGGAAAUUUGCUUCUCUACUUCUGACGGAAUAGCACAGGAAUUGGUGCUAUUCCCCACACACCCGAAAUUGGCUUUGACGAGAUGGAUCCUGUUGGAUCCCAGAUUCCUACAGGCUACUGAAGGAACCUUCCAGUUACGCAAAAGAACCUGGAAAUGCUACACAUCCACUAAUGCAGCUCUGUCUUCUGAGUAUCCCGGGACAAAUGUCUCUGAGCCAUUUAUAACCUUUGGUGAUGCAUUUCAUAUGUACCAUACUAUCUCAGAGAAGGUAUAUUUACUAUGCGCUUUAACUCUUUAAUAUCAAUUCCUUAAAUCUCGUGCCCAAAAAAUUGCCUCGCUUAUGGUUGGACAGAGGGAGUACAAAAUUACAAACUAUAGCUAUAAGUUUAUUUUACUAUUAUCUUAGUUGGUUGGUAUCCUCCAAUAUGUUGAUGUCAACUUAUUAUGUUGUUUUCCUUUUUUAAGACAUGGUGGAUUGAGCAUAAAACUUUUACUGACUUUUCCAACUCUUAAUUUGAUCAUGCGUUUUACCUAGACUUCAAUUGUAGAAUCCACAUCCAACAAGGUAUGAAUGUCAUUUAACGAGCUAAUUACUUGUCUAAAGCUACAUUGCUUUGCAUCAUGGACAUUAGAUUCCUAUGUAGGUAAAUUACUGCUUCUAUAACUGUUUGCAAUGAACCGAGCUUAAGCAUAUUGUUCUUGAGUUGCUCAAAAUAUGCACUGAUUCUCAGGAUAAUAUUUCCGAUGAUGACUAUAUAAUUUCGUAAGCUGAGCUCGGUCUAGAAGUGGGAAUGAUGUCAAUCCUACAUGGAGUUAAGGAUGAGCUAACUUCUAAAGGAGGCAAGAUGAGAGAAGAAAUACCUAACCCCCAUUCACCUAACUUCCCAUUGAAACAAGGGAGUAUUUUGUUUCCCAUCAGGCCAUCACAUAUUUUUUCCUUCACAUAAAGGGCAAUGUUAAGAUUAAGAUAUGGGGUGAGGGUGUUUGUGUACGUACAUGCUUGAUUAUGUGGUUGUAAAUAAUAUGAUUAAUCUAUCUCCGAUGUGUUGAUUCUGAAGGACCCUUUUUUCAGAAGUGUAUAUAUAACAAUGCGAAUACUGAAGAAGUUAUGUGUUUUUAAAUGUCAGGUCUAUGCCACGGAGCCUGAUGAGAAACUUUACGAAAUGCAGCACAUUUGAUGGUAGCAAGGUUGGCAGGAAGUCUUGCUAAUGUAACUUGUUAGGUAUAGAUAACCUUUGCUUUAUUACUCUCUUGUCUAAUAAAUGUUAAUGAUCUUGUGAAUUGUCUAAACACCACUUUAUAUACCUUGUGUGCUGAAUGAAAAGGCCUGUACAUCACAUUUAGGAACCUUUACGUGGUUCAGUAUCUAACCAACUCAGAAGGUCACUUCAGGGCUUGGCCAUAGCAAAUGAUCUUCUAGAGCAGUCGUUUUAGCUGGUGACUAAUGGAAUCACAGGAGACGAUGACACCGAUGAAUGGAAUCCAUCCACUGAUACAUAUCUUCCUCGAUUGAUAGCCGCUCUGGAAAUAUUGUUGAGUGCAAGGCUGGGCUGCAAGCAGAACUCCGUCCUUUGUUGAGAGAGCUAUUUCAGUAUUGAUCAUGUUCCAGAGAUGUCCCCUUUUCUUCAACAAUGAGUUGUUAUAGCUCUAAGCACUAAACCAGAAUCGAUCCACCCAGAGCUCAAAUGCAUUUCCAGUUCACCCCUCGGCUUCAUCAGGAGCUGGAUUAUCCAGGCAAUUUGCAUCUCUACUUCUGACCAAAUGAGUGCUAGCAUUUACUCAUCUGGCCUUGUUAGCACUUGAAUUGCUGCUAUGCCCCAUACACCGAAAAUUGGCUCUGACGAGAUAGAACCUGUUGGAUCCCAGAAUCCUACAAGUUCGCUCAUCUCAUAUUUCAAUUGCUGUCCACAAACUCUUGUAAACGACAUCAUUCCUUCAUUCCCUCCUGCUUUGGCUAGCUACUGAUGGAACCUUCCAGUUGUGCAAAAGAACCUGGAAAUGCUGCACAUCCUACUAAUGCAAUUCUGUCCUCCGAGCAUCCUGAGACAAACCUUGAUAUUAGAAUGAGUUAUUUUGAUGAUACAAUCUCCUUUUUAUAUGUUUAAACAUAUGUGUGCCUGCUUUAGAUUAUGAAGCACAAGUUCGAAUAGCAGCUGCCGAACAAGUUACAAAUUCAGUCGGGUUCUUAAUCUAGAAUUUGCUGUCCAACAUAUUAGGAGUUAAGGAGUAUUUUGUUUCCCCUCACAUAUUUUUUCCUUCACAUAAAGGGCAAUGUUAAGAUUAAGAUUUGGGGUCUAUGCCACGGAGCCUAAUGAGAAACUUAUAUGAAAUGCAGCACAUUUGUUGUAGCAAGGUUGACAGGAAAUUAUGCUAAUGUAACUUGUAGGAAUCACAAACGGAGUUGACACUGAUGAAUGGAAUCCAUCCAUCGAUGCACAUCUUCCUCGAUUGAUAACCGCUCUGGAAAUGUUGUGAUACACUCAAAAUUUUAAAUAUUAUUCCCGCAUUCGUGUUUGUCUACGACAUUUAGAUUAUCUAUCCAGGGACCAUAUUUGCUUUGGGUUGCAAA